GCGGGUAUAAUAUAACGGUAUUACGUCACUCUUCCAAGGUGAACACGCGGGUCCGACUCCCGCUACCCGCU
rnacentral:tRNA from 1 species